rnacentral:rRNA from 1 species
CUUGGAGGAAUGUAUAGCAAUAGCUACUUGCAUCAUUGUAAAGAUGAUGCAAGAUCGACUAUGUCGAAUAAAAUUCUAGGUAGAAUUAUGAUAAUGACAUUGUCUGCCUAUGUGUCUUGACCAAAUUACGUGCCAGCAGUCGCGGUAAUACGUAGAAGACUAGUGUUAUUCAUGUUUAAUCGGUUUAAAGGGUACCUAGACAGCAAAUCAAGCUUUCAAAAAAAGAAAAGGACUAAUUUGCUAGAGUUACUUAUGAGGGGGUUUUAAAGUACUGAUGGUGUAGAGAUGAAAUUCUGUCAUACCUCUUUUCAAAAGAAAAAUUGAUGGCACAGGUAUAGGCGAAGGCAUCCCCUUAUGUGAUAACUGACGUUGAGGGACGAAGGCUUAUACAGCGAACAGGAUUAGAUACCCCAGUAGUCUAAGCAGAAAAUGAUGAAUGUCAUAGAUUAGAUAUAUAAGUUUAUUCUAUAAAUGAAAGUGUAAGCAUUCCACCUCAUGAGUAAUUUGGCAACAUUGGAACUGAAAUCAUUAGACCGUUUCUGAAACCAGUAGUGAAGUAUGUUGUUUAAUUUGAUGAUCCGCAAAAAACCUUACCACAAUUUGAAUAUUUAUAUUUUUUAUUGUUUUCUUCUUAAUUUUCUAUGGAUAUAACAUGGAAUAUUAAGAAAGAGGCAAUAAGAUAUAUUUACAAGCGUUGCACGGCUGUCUUCAGUUAAUGUCGUGAGACUCUGGUUAGUUCCAUUAAAUUAACGAAAACCCUUACUUUAUUUUUAUAUAGAGUAGUUCCCCGCUAUAUUGGAUAUGAUAACAGGGACUAAGACAAGUCAUCAUGGCCUAAAUAUUGUGGGCUAUAGACGUGCCACAUAAACCUUACAAAAGGGUGUGAAAUUGCG